CUACAUGCCCCACACACACACACACACACACACACACACACACACGACGCAUAUGCGUAUGCACGCUCAUGCAGUGCGACUGGAAGAGAGCGAAGCCUAUAUUCUGCGACCCUUUAACGUCCUCUCUUCACCUCUCCGUCAACUAUUUUCUUCUCGCUGUAUCACUUACUAGACGUUGUCUUCCUCAACCUUGCAUCCAAACGUGCACACGCACACGAAUGCAUACACAGAUCCGCAGAUAAGCAGACAUGCAUAGCGCUUUUUCUAUUGCGAUCGAAGGCACACGUAAGAACGGUGAAUGCGGCCGGAUCUCGCUUCUCUUCCCCCGCUGCCCUGUCCUCCCUUCCCCCUCCACUGUACGAUUAAACGAAGUGACGUUGGCUUUGUGUGGGCGGUGGUGUUCGGAGAGCAAGUUUGAUACUUUCCCGUUUCGAGGGUCACGCGUGCGUCUUCUUCCUUCUCUGCCUUCCAGGUUGUUUUUCACACACCUCAGUCACGACGUUUGAUGACAUUAUUAUUAUCAUCACCUCCUGGUGAAAGAGUGCUGUCCUCUUAUAUUGGGGGAGCGUGGUCACUCUCUUUUCCUCCUCCUUGUAUUUUGGAAUGGUGCUCGCUGUUUUUUUUUUUACUAUCUUCUCUGUGAGCUCAAGUCAGUCCCGCCCCCACCCGACCAGCCACUGGGUGAAAGCCAUGGCGGAUAAGGGAAGGGGUGAGCGCCCUCCUCUCGUAGAAGUUAUUGAAAAACAUACCGCGCGAUUCCGCAAGAGCACAGCACCAAAGUCAGCUUUCCCUACCCCUACCUGUGUUGACGUCCAACACGUCUGGUAACGUCACCCACCGCAGGUUGAAAAACGGGAUGGAGUUCUCUACGAAGUGCUUACUCUUUUCUGCUCCACCCUUUCCUCUCUCCCUCAUCUCACAUUAUCGAGGGAAG
rnacentral:misc_RNA from 1 species